CUGGCGGGAACCCUCUCGCCUAGCCAAUGCCACCUGUGGGGCCGUACUGCUAAGUGCGCCCAGCCUGGCACAAUAGGCGUGAGUCACGGCGUGGAGGAACUGGUCCUGUUGGAGCGGAAGGUGAUCGGUCAGGCAGUCGAGGCUGGACACUCUCAGAGGGAGUGCAGUCCCUCCCCUUUCCGCCUCUCCCCUCCACCCCCACCCCCUUGCUUCAGCGCUGGAUGCAGAGCUGGACCUCUGCAAAACUGUAAAGCGGAAGAAAUUUGGGCCCGCCCAUCGACUCUUACUGCACUGCGUCCACCCUCUUCUCUCCAAUUUCGUUUCUCUACGUCUCUGUCUCUCCUUGCCUCUCCCUUCCCCUUUUCCUCGCCCUCUCCCUGACUCCCCCGACCCCACGCACUCAUACGAGGACCCAUACUGUGUGAAAGAUGCGCACUGUAGCAUCUCAUGACUUAAAGGUCAUCCAGCCCCAUCCUCCCACUGCUGCUUGAACAAUAUGCUUAACACGUAGUGCCGCAGUCGAUGCUGGGGAAAACUCAAACCGCCCUGGAAUGCUUGACACUUUUCCUGAAUACAACAGAACAAGACCAGCAGAAGGAAAUGAUCUGAGAAUGUGCUGAGGAUGUGUUGUGAUCCAGAAAAGUCAGCUGGAGUCAGACCUAUGGUGCUUUUGCCCAUGCUUUUGGUGUCAAGUCCAAGAAGUCAUCACCAAAUCCAGUGUCACAAAAUUUCCAGUUUUCUUUUAAGAACUGUAUAACUAUUCAUACAUUUCUGUCUUUGAUCCAUUUUGAGUACAUUUUUAUAUAUGGAAUAUGGUAAGGGUCCAAUGUCUGUCUUUUCCAUGUAGAUAUCAGUUAUCCCAGCACCAUUUGUUGAAUAAUGUCCACUGACUAUGCAUAGUCAUGGCACCCUUGUCGAAAAUCAUUUGUCUAUAUAAACAAGGGUUUAUUUCUGGGAUCUCUACUCUAUUCCAUUGGUUUAUGUUAGUCAGAUUUCCAUCCCUGUAACAAAGUACCUGAUGUAAAUCACUUAUAAGGAAGAAAGACUCAUUUUGGCUCAUGGUUUCAAAGGUUUCAGUCCAUGGUCAGCUGGAUCCAUUGCUUUUGGAUCUGUGUCAAGGCAGAACAAUAUGGUGGGAGUGCAUGAUGGGCCACUUCAUGGCAGCCAGGAAUCAUAAGAGAGACCCAGGAAGGGGCCUGAUCUCAAUAUCCUCUUCAAUGAUCGAACUUCUUCCCAGUAGACCCCACGUCUUAAAGUUUCCAUAACUAUCCAGUAGCUCCACAGGCUGGCAGCUAAGUCAUUAGCAUAAUGGCCUGUGGAAGACAGUUAGGAUCCAAGCCAUAACAGUGUAUAUAUGGUUUUAUGGUAGUAUCACACAGUUUUGAUUACCAUACUUUGUGGUGGUUAGUUUUGAAAUCAGGACGUGUAAGCCUUCCAACUUGGUUCUAUUUCAAGAUUUUUUUGACUAUCUGGGGUCUCUUGAGAGAGCCUGUGAAUUUUUCUAUUUUUGCAAAAUCUCAUCUUUGAGAUUUUGAUAAGGAUUUCAUUGAACAUGUAGAUAGUUUGGAAGUGACAUCUUAACAAUAUUAAGUCUUCCAAUUCAUGAACACAGGAUGCUUUCCAUUUGUAUGUCUUCUUUAACUUUUUUCUACGG